UUGCCAGUCCUGGAGAUGUAGGUCUUCCAUUUAUUCCCAGAACAGGUGCAGCACAGACAGCAAUAAUGCAAGUUUCCACUCAGUGCUCUGGUCCAGACCUGCAGGGACCAAUCCUACCAGCAAGACAACACUUCAGGGUCCAUCAAUACUCAGGUAUU
rnacentral:sRNA from 1 species